rnacentral:rRNA from 1 species
GACGAACGCUGGCGGCGUGCUUAACACAUGCAAGUCGAACGAUGAAGCCUUCGGGUGGAUUAGUGGCGAACGGGUGAGUAACACGUGGGCAAUCUGCCCUGCACUCUGGGACAAGCCCUGGAAACGGGGUCUAAUACCGGAUAUGACUGCUGACCGCAUGGUUGGUGGUGGAAAGCUCCGGCGGUGCAGGAUGAGCCCGCGGCCUAUCAGCUUGUUGGUGGGGUGAUGGCCUACCAAGGCGACGACGGGUAGCCGGCCUGAGAGGGCGACCGGCCACACUGGGACUGAGACACGGCCCAGACUCCUACGGGAGGCAGCAGUGGGGAAUAUUGCACAAUGGGCGGAAGCCUGAUGCAGCGACGCCGCGUGAGGGAUGACGGCCUUCGGGUUGUAAACCUCUUUCAGCAGGGAAGAAGCGUGAGUGACGGUACCUGCAGAAGAAGCGCCGGCUAACUACGUGCCAGCAGCCGUAACAC